AUAGCCAACUCUUCACUAUCUUACUUUAUGGCUAUAACUGCCAUGGUGGUGAUUACAAUGCGCUUCAUUUCUCAUCUUCCUACUCUCUCUAUCUACUUCUCUCUCUGCUAAAUCUUAACCUUGUUACUUUUCUCCGGUUCAUCCAGAUUAGCAAUCGCAAAACAGAGGCUCGGAGAACAAUGCAGGACCUGAAAAUGCUAGAGAACAUGAUAGCAGUGAGGUUCGUGCACCUUUACUGGAAAAUGGAUGUUCUUUAUGGUGCUCCAACGCUCUCUGGGUAUGUAUAGUUUCUCAUAUUCGCUUCCAUUGCCUUUUGUAAUAAUUAGAAGCUUCUGAGCAGUCAAUAGCGGUGGGAUAGCGGUUAUCGAGCCUUCCAAAAUAGCGUAAACUGGCCAUUCCAUCUUUAUCUAGAGUAAACUGGACAUUCCAUCGCAGACCUGUUGCCCCGGCCGGAAAAUCCCCCCGCUGAUUCGCUGGCGACCAGUGCUGUUGCUUGCUCCUCUCGGUCAAACAAGUGUUGCCAAAUACCAAGAAGCAAAUCAUGGAGUAUAUACUGUUGUCACAUUCCCUUUCCUGUUUGCUGUGAUGUUUGGUAAUUAGGGGCAUGGUAUAUGUAUCCUGCUGGCAUAUUUCUCAAGUCAGAAGCUUGGAGACGGUACCGAGUAGUAAACCAUUGGGUAGACCAGUAAUCCGGAACGGGAUCGUGGGCAUGUCGGAUCCGAUGAUGAAUAAUAAUAUCGUUAAUAGCGGUGCGUUACAGGGU